CCGUCGAAGGUGAAACCAAUGACUGGGGUGAAGUCGUAACAAGGUAGCCGUAUCGGAAGGUGCGGCUGGAUCACCUCCUUUCUAAGGAGUAA
rnacentral:rRNA from 1 species